GUUAUACACAUAAAUAACUAGUGGUCCAAUUAAAUAAUAAUUUAAAGUAAAGUCAGUUCAUAAGGGAAAAGCACUGCGAAAUAAACGCACCGUUUCGCACCGCACAUUACUGCAAAUUAUUUAAAAUUGUUUGUGUCUCUUUUUUGGUGUUGUUAAAUUCGCCCCUUAUGGACGACCAUCGCAGCCAGCGAUAACAGGUUGAGAGAAUCAGAAAAGAAACAAACACGAAUAAUCUGGAUGAGUGAUUUAUAAUUUUUUUUUUCGUAAAGGUCAGCUUGUGACUUUUAUUUGCGAACAUGAAAAAUAAAUCGCAAAAAUGCAUAUGAUGCAAAUCAACGCUUAAAUAUAUAAAAUAUAUCAAAAGAUUAAUAACAAUAUAAAAAAAAUCUCAUUUCUGUUACUCAGACUUCAUUACUUCAUACUUAUCAUAUUAUUUCCAUAAUUUGUUAAAAAUUACUAACAAUAUGUUAUUGUAUGUAAAUAAAAAAGAAAGUAACAGUUAUUAAGAACAAGAACAAAUUAAUUGUUUAUCUCACACCAAACUUAAAAAAUUAAAAAAACAAUAAAAACGAAUAAAGGUCAUACCAAACCAUUUAAAUAAAAAUCAUUUUACAGUAGUUUUGA